rnacentral:rRNA from 1 species
GACGAACGCUGGCGGCGUGCUUAACACAUGCAAGUCGAACGCUGAAGCUCAGCUUUUGUUGGGUGGAUGAGUGGCGAACGGGUGAGUAACACGUGAGUAACCUGCCCCCUUCUUUGGGAUAACGCCCGGAAACGGGUGCUAAUACUGGAUAUUCACUGGUCUUCGCAUGGGGGUUGGUGGAAAGGGUUUUUCUGGUGGGGGAUGGGCUCGCGGCCUAUCAGCCUGUUGGUGGGGUGAUGGCCUACCAAGGCUUUGACGGGUAGCCGGCCUGAGAGGGUGACCGGUCACAUUGGGACUGAGAUACGGCCCAGACUCCUACGGGAGGCAGCAGUGGGGAAUAUUGCACAAUGGGCGCAAGCCUGAUGCAGCGACGCCGCGUGAGGGAUGGAGGCCUUCGGGUUGUGAACCUCUUUCGCUCAUGGUCAAGCCGCAACAAUGGUUGUGGUGAGGGUAGUGGGUAAAGAAGCGCCGGCUAACUACGUG